CCUCCUCCCACCUCUUGGCAGUGAGUGCUUCUCUCCGCGGGUAUUUGCACACAAGCUCCUGAGUCCGCAUCGCAGAAAGGGACUCAAAGACCUGGCGACCCUCCCUUGGACUAUUUUGUGACUCAGAGGAGCCUUGGGGGCACAGAAGGACCAGAGAAAGAAAGGGAGCCGCGCAUAUUGAAGAAGGGCAGAGGCAGAGUGUAUCCCUUCCCCACCCCCUGGUAGCUCAAUAAUUUGGAUGAAUUCUUGCCCCUGGAGCACUCUGCAAAACAAGCUUCCCUGCCUGCUAGACUUGUGAAAUUCCAGGGCCAUGGAUGGGUGAAGCGCACAGGUGGAAUUUCUGAGGGUUUUUUUUUUGUUUUUGUUUUUGUUUUUGUUUUUGUUUUUUUUAAUCUGCACCUGGGUUUAGACCGCACCUCAGAGGCUCCCAGAGCCACAAGUUAGUGGUGACAGCCCAGCUCCGCAGGUGCCAGUAGCAAAGGUCAUUUGCAGCACAGCUAUCCUCACCUAUGACCUGAAGUGUGGUCCAGUACCCACCAUGAGUUGGGAGGCCAGGCUCUGGCAGCAUCUGAGACCUCACCAGCUCCGGGCUGGAGCUUUUUCCUCAGCCACAGUGGACAUUCAGCCUUUCUGCACCGGCAGAGGAAAACUGGCUUGCAGGGGCUCUCUUCUCUUUCUUCCUGGGAACGUUCCCAAACCUAUCCCCCAUCCCAGCUCUUUUACCAAGAUCCGGGGACCUCAUCACCAAACCUGUCUCCCGCAAGGGAAGGUUCUCUCCCGAGGCAGAGUCAGAGGACGGGGUGGAGUGGGGCGAGAGGAGCCUCCACCCGAAAUGCUCAGACCCUAGGGGGCUAGAUCGAAGAGGGAUUGAGCAGGGGAGACUGAGCUCUACUUGCCUUUCCCACAGCAGCAUCUGGAAUGUAGAGGGUGGGGGGAUGAAGAGGAAGGAGGAGGGUCGGUGACAGCAGAGGGGACGGCAGCUCAAAGACAGAGCCUGGGCAGCGCCGCUCACAGGCGGCUGUCGCCACGUUCCCCUGGACUGAGCGACCCCGGUGGUUCCGCUGCCCCAGCCCUGAAGCCCCCCUUCUUUCAGACCCGCCAAGGAUUAGUUGCCGUUGAAGGGGUUCCUCCAAUGAAAUCUUCCCUGCGCUCUGAUUUGGCGGUUCUUCCGUGCAAAUAUGACAGCUUUCUCUCCCAGCUCUUUUCUACAUCUCUCCACGUCCAUCCCCGGAGCCCACCUCUCCAUCUGCAGUUUUUACACCUCAACCUUUGCAAUCACCACGACCACUCCUAAGCCCCAACCAGCAAGUGCCCGGUUGCUACAAAGGUGACAGGGCGCUUUUGGAAGAAGGCUUGUUGAUUGCAGAAGACAUUAAGCCCCGUGUUUCCAGUGCUAUGAAGUGCAAUGAGCUGGUCUGAGAAUAUCAGAUGGAAUCUCUGGGAAAGAGUGUUUUGCAGAAGCUUGCCACAACUGGAUUUAAGAUCCAGUGAAAUUCUACAUAAUUAACUACUGACAUAGCCAUGCAGGAUGUAAAAAAAAUGUCACACAUACCAAGAUGGCCAGAAUGCAUGGAUGAAUUAAGGCAAAAGAAUGCCACUCCAAACAAUGAAGUUUGAAGGUGACAGAUGGACCCUGGAGUAUCCUGAGAGAGAUUUUGAGAACUGAAGACUCAAAGGUUGCUUCUUCCUUGGCCUGCCUUGAUGCUUGUCUGUGGCCAGCAGCGCUUUUCUUCCUGAUUUUGAGGAAUGUCAGGAAGGAGGCUGAGUGCCCUGACAGCCUCAAGCCUGUGGGACUCCAACUUUAUUAUCUUUAAUGGCUGAGAGCCUGGCCAGAACUGUGGGUAAUGUACUGAUAUUUCAGAGAACCAAGGAAACAUUAGAAGAUUUCAUUCACUUAAUGGUUACUGAUUAAUUGACUUCAAUACAGCUAUGAAUGUCAUAAAGUUUUCUGUAAAACGUAUUGUACUGUUUUUAAAAUAGUAGCACAAAUGACUUAAAGACAGCUUUUCUUUUCUUUUUAAUAAAGUGGCUCUAACUCACCCUUUUUCUCAGAUCAGCUGGCAUCUCUUCUCAAAUUCAUGUGUGGAAAAUUUACUCUCAAAGACACAACAUUGUACUAUUCUAACCACUCUCAAAAAGAA